CCUACGGGUGGCAGCAGUGAGGAAUAUUGGUCAAUGGACGCAAGUCUGAACCAGCCAUGCCGCGUGCAGGAAGACUGCCCUAUGGGUUGUAAACCUCUUUUAUGCGGGGACAAAGGUGUCCACGUGUGGAGGUUUGCAGGUACCGCAUGAAUAAGGACCGGGCAAUUCCGUGCCAGCAGGCGGGGUAAUACGGAAGGUCGGGGCGGUUUCCGGGUUUUUUGGGGUUAAAGGGAGCGUAGGGCGGUCUUUUAGCGUGCCGUGAAAUUUUGUGGCUCCAACCUGGGUCUGCGGCGCGAACUGGCGAUCUUGAGUGGGCGGGAGGCAGGCGGAAUUCGUGGUGUAGCGGUGAAAUGCUUAGAUAUCACGAAGAACCCCGAUUGCGAAGGCAGCAUGCCGCAGCGUUACUGACGCUGAAGCUCGAAAGCGUGGGUAUCGAACAGGAUUAGAUACCCUAGUAGUC
rnacentral:rRNA from 1 species